GUACUGGGAGCACUGGUGUGGACUGCGUGCUGAGGCUCCAGACUGGGACUGAGUCAUCCGUACUGGGAGCGCACUGGUCCAUACUGGUUCCCCACCAUGGCUCUGCCGCCCGCCCUGGCCACAGCCUGGUCGCUGCUGCUGCUGCUGCUCCUGGAUGCGGUGCUGGUGACCGGGUGGCUGUGCCACAGCUCUUGGCCUUGGUGUGGGUCCAGUGGUGCCUGUUGGGUGCUGCCUGCGUGGCCCUGGCGUUGGCCGUGUUGGCAGCACUCGGUGAAGCAGCAGCACAAAGAAGAGGGGCAGCAGCAAGAAGAAGCCUCCGGUUGCAGCUCAUCCAGCCCAUGCAGGAGUUAAGUAGGAAGCUCUGCAGGGAGGAGAGGAAGAGACACCCAGGGCUACCUCCCUGUGCCCACAGAGCUCUGGGGGGGGGCUCGGUAUCCCCCUGCAUCCCAUGGAGGCUCCAUGCAGGAGCUGGGGCCACCCCAUCCGUACCCCCUGGUGCCAGCUCGUACCUGGUGCUGAGCUGGCAGAGCCCAUGGCCAUGCCUGCAAGAGAAAGAGCCGUGAGCAGCCAAGACCCCUCCUUUUCCAUCUGUUCCUCCUAUGGGGGCUGAGGAUUGGGAAGCCGGAGGCACGGGACCAGCACGGUGCUGGAUGUGCCCCCGGUGCUCACCUGGGGUCGCGCUGUUGCCAUCCCUGUUCUUCCCUGCAGAGAGGCAGAGCCAUCAGCAGCCCUAUGGGGCUGGUCAGGGCUCCCAUUCAGCAGCUCCUGCCCUGCCUCCCUCCCUGCAUGCGGGGCCUUACCCGCUCUGAGCUUCCAGAGGAGCACCCCGAUGAUGGUGAUGGCCACGAGCACCACGGCAGCCACCGGCAGCAGGAUGCUGAGCAGGUCAGAGUGCGGCUCUGCAGGAAGAGCAGGAGGAUGAGGAGCUGGCAAGGGGGAACCCCCCCCACCGUGCGCGGCCCCCCCAGGGCUCACCCAGAGCAUAGAGGCCGGGUUGGAGGAGGCUGGCGUGUUCCACCCGGCACCGGAACCUGUCCUUGUCGCCGGGGUGGGCCUCGAUGGAGGCCCACGUGUAGUAGGUGCCGUCGCUGUUGGGGGCGAGGCCGCCCCAUUGGGUGUCCUGGUCCCGCACCUCGCCGUCCUUGAGCCAGCUGAGCACGAUGGGCCGCGGGUAGAAGCCGUGAGCGCGGCAGGUCAAGGUCAGGAUCCCGUCCUCCUGCUCCUUCCCUGACACUCGCACCGUGGGGGACACUGGGAAUGGGAUGGAUGGGGAGGGAUCAGAGCAGGCGCCCACAGCCCCCAAAGGGAGCGUGUCCUGGGCUGCAUCCAAAGGAGCGUGAGCAGCAGGGUGAGGGCUGAUCCUGCCCCUCUGCUCUGGGCAGAGCUCACUGGGAGCUGUGCGUGCGGUGCUGGGUCCUCAGCAUGAACAGGGCAUGGGAUGGUUGGGACAAGCCCAGAGGAGACAAGAGGAUGAGCAGGGACUGGAGCAGCUCCUGUAUGGAGAUAGGCUGGGAACGUUGGGGCUGUUCAGCCUGGAGAAGAGAAGCUGCGUGGAGACCUCAUAGUGUGUGAAGGGGGUUUGGGAUGGUGGGGAUGGACUCUUCAUUAGGGCCUGCAGUGAUGGGACAAGGGGUAACGGGUGCAAACUGAAGCAUUGGAAGGUUAGGUUGGGUCUGAGGAGGAAGUUCUUGACUGAGGCACUGGAAUGGGUUGCCCAGGGAGGUGUUCGAGGCCAGGUUGGACGAUGCCUUUGGUGCCUUGGUUUAAUGUGAGGGGUUGGAACUGGAGGCUCUCAAGGUCCUUUCCAACCCAACCCAUUCUGUGGCCCCCAUGUCCCCAUCUCACCCUCACCUCUCCUCUCCAGCUCCAGCUGCCCAUAGCUCACGUAUUCCUUCAGCUCCUCCCCACAGCUGUUCUCCAGAUAGUUCUUUAAGUGCUCAGCUACACUCCCAUCCUGUUCCCACUCCCUCUUGGUGGCCUCUGCCUCUGGAACCGCCGGGAUGAACGUCAUGGUGUCCAUGUUGAAGGCAAUGAUGUCCUUCCCAUCAUAGGCAAUCUGAGUGUACCCCUUGGUGCUCCCAUCGUCCAGGAGGUCACAGCCAGACAUGGUCUGCAGUGUGUGAGCCCCUGCACCAACACCGGUGAGAUGGGACUGCCCCACACAGCCCAUCCCAGCCCCACAGAGCCCCUCCAGCCCCAUGAAGCAACAUCCCUGCCCCACACUCACCCCCGCUCUGGUUGUACCGAUCCCGCAGAGUGUUGAGGCCAUCGUAGGACAUCUGCUGGAUUGUCUGUGCAACCUCAGUCACUCUAUCCCAGUAUUUUUGACCCACAUUGGCCUCAAUCCAGUGUGUCCGGGGCUGACAUCGCUUGCUGUCACUGUUGUAGCUCAUAAACAGGUUCCCAUCCACAUAUCCCAUCUCCUGGAACCGGGGAACCCCUGGGCUGGGGUCUGACACGGCGACAAACAAGAACCGCAGGGAAUGGAGCACUGCAGGGACACAGGGGUGAGGGCCGCAGAGCAGCAGGAGCCCCACGGCAGAGCCUGGCCCCAUCGCGCUCCUCCGCUGAGCACUGAGCCCAGAGCCCAGAGCUUGGGCACCAGCAGCACCCUCCUGCUCCGCUAUUGGCUCUGCCCCGAGCCACCCACCAAUGAGAAACCAGGACUGCUCGUGACGUCACCGGUUGCUGGCAGAUCCCACUUGUCGAGGUUGCGAAACGGAAACGAACUUUGCUGGGAAACCCCAAUUCUGGGUGUGAUAACUGGAGUUAAGAUCCCUGGUAAGGAAAAGGCAUCGUGGGGACAUGGGGAUGUGCGGAUAUAGGGACAUGGGGAGAUAAGGAUAUGGGACAUGAGGGUCAUGGGGAUAUAGGGACAUAAGACAUGGGGAGAUAGGGAUAUGGAACAUGAGGGUCAUGGGGAUAUAGGGACUUAGGACAUG